GGCCAGGUAGCUCAGUUGGUAGAGCAGCGGACUGAAAAUCCGCGUGUCGCCGGUUCGAUUCCGGCCCUGGCCAC
rnacentral:tRNA from 1 species